GAGACGUUAGUAAAACAAUUACACCGCCUUGUCAAGACGGAAUCACUGGUUAAACCCCGGUACAUCUCA
ensembl:Mt_tRNA